UUCCGGUUGAUCCUGCCGGACCUGACUGCUAUCGGAUUGAUACUAAGCCAUGCGAGUCAUUGUAGCAAUACAAGGCAGACGGCUCAGUAACGCGUAGUCAACCUAACCUAUGGACGGGAAUAACCUCGGGAAACUGAGAAUAAUGCCCGAUAGAACACUAUACCUGGAAUGGUUUGUGUUCCAAAUGAUUUAUCGCCGUAGGAUGGGACUGCGGCCUAUCAGUUUGUUGGUGAGGUAAUGGCCCACCAAGACUAUUACAGGUACGGGCUCUGAGAGGAGUAGCCCGGAGAUGGGUACUGAGACACGGACCCAGGCCCUAUGGGGCGCAGCAGGCGAGAAAACUUUGCAAUGUGCGAAAGCACGACAAGGUUAAUCCGAGUGAUUUGUGCUAAACGAAUCUUUUGUUAGUCCUAGAACCACUAACGAAUAAGGGGUGGGCAAGUUCUGGUGUCAGCCGCCGCGGUAAAACCAGCACCUCAAGUGGUCAGGAUGAUUAUUGGGCCUAAAGCAUCCGUAGCCGGCUCUGUAAGUUUUCGGUUAAAUCUGUACGCUUAACGUACAGGCUGCCGGGAAUACUGCAGAGCUAGGGAGUGGGAGAGGUAGACGGUACUCGGUAGGAAGGGGUAAAAUCCUUUGAUCUAUUGAUGACCACCUGUGGCGAAGGCGGUCUACCAGAACACGUCCGACGGUGAGGGAUGAAAGCUGGGGGAGCAAACCGGAUUAGAUACCCGGGUAGUCCCAGCUGUAAACUAUGCAAACUCAGUGAUGCAUUGACUUGUGGUCAAUGCAGUGCUGCAGGGAAGCCGUUAAGUUUGCCGCCUGGGAAGUACGUACGCAAGUAUGAAACUUAAAGGAAUUGGCGGGGGAGCACCACAAGGGGUGAAGCCUGCGGUUCAAUUGGAUUCAACGCCGGG
rnacentral:rRNA from 1 species